UACGGGGGGGGCAAGCGUUGUUCGGAAUUACUGGGCGUAAAGGGCUCGUAGGUGGCCAACUAAGUCAAACGUGAAAUCCCUCGGCUUAACCGGGGAACUGCGUUUGAUACUGGAUGGCUUGAGUUUGGGAGAGGGAUGCGGAAUUCCAGGUGUAGCGGUGAAAUGCGUAGAUAUCUGGAGGAACACCGGUGGCGAAGGCGGCAUCCUGGACCAAUAUUGACGCUGAGGAGCGAAAGCCAGGGGAGCAAACGGG
rnacentral:rRNA from 1 species